CUUGACGGUUUGUUCCACAAUCUCUGCGACAUAAACCAGUUAUAUGGUAGAUACCUAGAAUGAUGAACUAGCAUGGUAGUUGGAUUUGGUUUGCACGAAAUGAAAGUAGAAAAAGAAGGCCUAGCUGCUACAGAAUAGCUUGACUAACAAUUUGCAAGCCAGAAAUCCUUGUGAAAGUUAAUCGAGGCAAGUCUCCAUAGAAGAAGGAGAAGGUAAAGCGCAAGAGCUCGGUGUCAUGUUUAUCAAAACAAGCGCAAAAGCUGGCUUCAAUAUAAAGGCUCUCUUUCGAAAGAUUGCGGCUGCCUUGCCCGGGAUGGAAACCUUUCUCCUCCAUGUUGCUUAGAUUUAUGAGGAAAGUGAAAGUGAGGAUGAUGGUCUUGACAUGGGUGAUGAUGAUGAUGUUGAGGAACUUGAAAAUGAAUCAGAGGCUGUUAGGAAAGAACCAACCAUUGAGAAACCUGCUCUUGUUUCAGCAUCAUUUGUUGUUUGCCUAUUGAAAAUUAAUG